GGGAUUGAUUUGGUUUUGGCAAGUGUCUUCUAAACACAUUGUCGGUGGGUUCGAUUCCCCCCCUCUCCCU